GCGGCUUUAGCUCAAUUGGGAGAGCGUAAGUCGCAUUGCACUGACGGCUCAUAAUAUUGUGUACUAAUUGUCUCUCAGGCCAGACUGAAGAAAACUUCGGAAUUUGAAAUCUGGAGGCACUGUGUUCGAUCCACAGAAGCCGCA